rnacentral:rRNA from 1 species
AGUGAACGCUGGCGGUAGGCCUAACACAUGCAAGUCGAACGGCAGCACAGUAAGAGCUUGCUCUUACGGGUGGCGAGUGGCGGACGGGUGAGGAAUACAUCGGAAUCUACUUUUUCGUGGGGAUAACGUAGGGAAACUUACGCUAAUACCGCAUACGACCUACGGGUGAAAGCAGGGGAUCUUCGGACCUUGCGCGAUUGAAUGAGCCGAUGUCGGAUUAGCUAGUUGGCGGGGUAAAGGCCCACCAAGGCGACGAUCCGUAGCUGGUCUGAGAGGAUGAUCAGCCACACUGGAACUGAGACACGGUCCAGACUCCUACGGGAGGCAGCAGUGGGGAAUAUUGGACAAUGGGCGCAAGCCUGAUCCAGCCAUACCGCGUGGGUGAAGAAGGCCUUCGGGUUGUAAAGCCCUUUUGUUGGGAAAGAAAAGCAGCAGGUUAAUACCCCGCUGUUCUGACGGUACCCAAAGAAUAAGCACCGGCUAACCUCGUG